rfam:Oryza glumipatula chromosome 3, whole genome shotgun sequence.
AAUAAGCGCAACCAUAAGUUUCCGUGUCUAAUUUUGAUCGUUCGUCUUAUUUGAAAUGUUUUUAUGAUUAGUAAUUUUGUUAUUAUUAGAUUAUAAAACAUGAAUAGUACUUUAUGCGUCACUUAUAUUUUUUUUAGCUUUUUCAGAAAAAUUUCAAAUAAGACGAACGAUCGAAAUUGGACAUUGGAAACUGAUGGCUGCGCUUAUU